GGCAGUGUAGCCAAGUGGUUACGGCGUCACGUUUAGGCAUCAGCUAAAACCGUGAUGGGUUUCCCGCGCGAGUUCGAAUCUCGUCACUGUCA
rnacentral:tRNA from 1 species